GAACCGUCCAAACGUUAUUCGGAAUUAUUGGGCUUAAAGGGUGCGUAGGCGGUGCAGUAAGUUGGGUGUGAAAUCCCUCGGCUCAACCGAGGAACUGCGCCCAAUACUGCUACACUCGAGGGAGACAGAGGUAAGCGGAACUGAUGGUGGAGCGGUGAAAUGCGUUGAUAUCAUCAGGAACACCAGUGGCGAAAGCGGCUUACUGGGUCUCUUCUGACGCUGAGGCACGAAAGCUAGGGUAGCGAACGGGGAUUAGAUACCCCGGUAGUCCUAGCUGUAAACGAUGAGCACUUGGCGGAGGUUCCCCGAGAACUUCCGGCCCGUAGCGAAAGUGUUAAGUGCUCCGCCGUGGGGGAGUAUGGUCGCAAGGCUG
rnacentral:rRNA from 1 species